GACGAACGCUGGCGGCGUGCUUAACACAUGCAAGUCGAACGGAAAGGCCCUGCUUUUGUGGGGUGCUCGAGUGGCGAACGGGUGAGUAACACGUGAGUAACCUGCCCUUGACUUUGGGAUAACUUCAGGAAACUGGGGCUAAUACCGGAUAGGAACUCCUGCUGCAUGGUGGGGGUUGGAAAGUUUGGGCGGUUGGGGAUGUACUCGCGGGUUAUCAGCUUGUUGGUGGGGUAGUGGCUUACCAAGGCUUUGACGGGUAGCCGGCCUGAGAGGGUGACCGGCCACAUUGGGACUGAGAUACGGCCCAGACUCCUACGGGAGGCAGCAGUGGGGAAUAUUGCACAAUGGGCGGAAGCCUGAUGCAGCAACGCCGCGUGCGGGAUGACGGCCUUCGGGUUGUAAACCGCUUUCGCCUGUGACGAAGCGUGAGUGACGGUAAUGGGUAAAGAAGCACCGGCUAACUACGUG
rnacentral:rRNA from 1 species